rnacentral:rRNA from 1 species
UGAGGAAUUUUGCGCAAUGGGCGAAAGCCUGACGCAGCAACGCCGCGUGGGGGAUGAAGGCCCUCGGGUUGUAAACCCCUUUUCUCUGGGAAGACUUCGACGGUACCAGAGGAAUAAGCCACGGCUAACUACGUGCCAGCAGCCGCGGUAAUACGUAGGUGGCAAGCGUUGUCCGGAUUUACUGGGCGUAAAGCGCGCGUAGGUGGCUUGGCAAGUCUGUGGUGAAAUCUCUCGGCUUAACCGAGAGGGGUCUAUGGAUACUGCCAGGCUUGAGUGUCGUAGAGGAAGGCGGAAUUCCCGGUGUAGUGGUGAAAUGCGUAGAUAUCGGGAGGAACACCAGUGGCGAAAGCGGCCUUCCAGACGAUAACUGACGCUGAGGCGCGAAAGCGUGGGGAGCAAACCGG